AGGGAGGAUGGGCCACAGUGAAAACUACAAUCAAUAAAGCCUUGGUUAUGCAUCACUGGACGGCUGCAUGCACACAUGCGACUGCUGAGAUAUUUUCCCCGCCACGUUCACUGAUCUUCUUCAUCUCCCUGCAUCUGUGCAUGAUCUUUAUCGCUAUUCACUCAGUAGUGGAAAUGAUGUGCAGGUGCUGCCACUACAGAGUCAGCAAAGAAAUAACAAAUGGCAGGAGUUUAUUGAGCUUACUUCCAGCCAACAAAAACAUGCGUUAACAGGAGGGGCAAACAAGCAUCAAAACCACAUUCUUCUCUUAGUGGAUUCCAAUCAUCUACAAAGCAGGGGGAAUAUGACAGUGAUAGUGAUCCCCUUCAUCUUGCGCACCACGGAGCGUCCUGAAGAGGUGGGCGUUAGUGAGCCGGCUUUGUGAAUACCUGAUGAACCACGGAGGGAGCGGCGGUUUUCUGUCCUCCUACUGCUUCCCCCUCCUUGCCUCUCAUCUAUCGCCUGCAAGCACACGUUCCUCCAGUUUGCUUCCCCCUCCUCUCGCCACAGUCCCGAGGGGGCCACUUUGGCUAAACAAGGGAUUUGAAGAUCUGAGCGAUAAAACACAAGAGACCAGUGCUGUCCUCAGAAUAGACGCGCUGAUUUACAAUGAAGGUAUCGACUGGGCAUAUUCAGUUUGGGAUUGGAGGACGAGUCAUUGCUGGCUGCUAAUUGAAAAGCAGCAGGAGGGGACAGCAGCCAUUAUGUUUAGAAAGCAAUAAUGCAAUUACAUG